UGGGGGCUGAACAGAGGAACGGCAGGGGUGUAGGGUGUCUCGAGCCCAGUGUGAACAGCUGAGAGGUGUGAUUUCACAGGCUGGCUCCCCCCUGUCAGGGCCCUGAUUGGGCCGGACAGGAGGCGCAGGAGAGGCCCGGGCUUCUAAAGGACACCAACAGGUGGGAGGCCGCUUUGGAGGGGGGCGCUCCUGGCGGGAUAGAAAAGGCCGAUCUGCAAGGCCUGAUGUGGGCACAAUCCACCAGCGAGAUACGGAGGAGGAUGGUUGAAUGCAGGAGAGCUGAGGCGAAGAGAGGAGAGGGAGCAGGGUGAAAUUGGGGAAUGGUUGUCAGGAAGUGGAGGGAUAGUUAGAGGAGUUUGGGCUUCAGGGACAAGAAGUAAGGUUGGUCUAUGAGUUUUGACUGAGAUUUGGGAGAAGAAAAUGGUAGUUUUUCCAGUUUUUCUGCUUUUUAAUUGAUUGUAGCUUUUAGAACAACUUUUGUACACAGCUUUUCCUUUUAUUGGUUAAUGUCAAAUGUUUUAUUUUACAAGUCCAGGAAUGAGCACAACUGUGAAGUUGUUCUAUUGAGUCCAGUUUCUUCUAGAUUCAGACAUUUAAGGCUUGACUUCUUCAGUUUGCUUGAUUUGCAGCACCAUGUGAGUAAAAUCAGGCAUCAAGCCAGUUGUUAGAUCUCAGUUUUACGAUACAGAGUCUGACACCUCUGUCAGGUGAGGGGGAAGCUGAGGUGUGACUUUGGUGACUUGACAUGUGUCUCUCAGAGGAGCCGUCACAGUCUAAUCAAAGUAGUCUCUCUAAUGGCCAUUUGGUUUGGAGUUAUGCUGUAGCUGUGGUCAGGUUUAUCAAGGCAGUCACCACUAGAUAGACAGUUAGAGUGUAGGAGACGCUGACUGAGCCCACUGUGGCCUCCGUCUCAACCUCAGCUACUCAUCAUGAGGAGGAGACACAACAGAAUACAAAAAAGGUAGGCUGAAGAGGACCUGGCAGCCUGUGGAAGACGACCUCCUUUUUUUUCCUCCUCUCUUUUUCCCUUUUUUCUUCGUCCUCUACCACUGCAACCUUUCCUCUUCCCCUCCUCGCUGUACCCCUCCUCCCUCCUUCUCCCGCUCUCUCCUGUUACUGGCUCUGGCUCUUGCAGCUGAAGCAACACGCCUUGCUGUGGCUGGUCAAACGGAACCAAGUCAGGUGUUUCUGUGAGGUUUGGUCCCCUUCAACCAGCUACUGCGUCGUGAAUUCAGUCAGCAGACACCAGCGUGGAAGCAAAGACACAGAGGCGUUGUGGUGUAAUGCUGCAUAUUCUGGAGUCAGUAGUUUAGUGACCAUAACAGAUUGUUUCUUUUCUUUUGUAGCUUGGAAUUAGUUGUUUCUUCUAUGGCAUUUAUGAAAAAACAAUAAAAGAUUACUGACAAUG